rnacentral:siRNA from 1 species
ACAAGUCGUUUCUUAUGU